GACGUAGGGUGCAAGCGUUAAUCGGAAUUACUGGGCGUAAAGCGUGCGCAGGCGGUUUUGUAAGCCAGAUGUGAAAUCCCCGGGCUUAACCUGGGAAUGGCAUUUGGGACUGCAAGGCUUGAGUGCGGCAGAGGAGACUGGAAUUCCUGGUGUAGCAGUGAAAUGCGUAGAUAUCAGGAGGAAUACCGAUGGCGAAGGCAGGUCUCUGGGCUGACACUGACGCUCAUGCACGAAAGCGUGGGGAGCAAACAGG
rnacentral:rRNA from 1 species